rnacentral:rRNA from 1 species
GACGAACGCUGGCGGCGCGCCUAACACAUGCAAGUCGAACGAGCGAGAGAGAGCUUGCUUUCUCAAGCGAGUGGCGAACGGGUGAGUAACGCGUGAGGAACCUGCCUCAAAGAGGGGGACAACAGUUGGAAACGACUGCUAAUACCGCAUAAGCCCACGACCCGGCAUCGGGUAGAGGGAAAAGGGGCAAUCCGCUUUGAGAUGGCCUCGCUUCCGAUUAGCUAGUUGGUGAGGUAACUGCCCACCAAGGCGACGAUCGGUAGCCGGACUGAGAGGUUGAACGGCCACAUUGGGACUGAGACACGGCCCAGACUGCUACGGGAGGCAGCAGUGGGGAAUAUUGCAGAAUGGGGGAAACCCUGAUGCAGCGACGCCGCGUGGAGGAAGAAGGUCUUCGGAUUGUAAACUCCUGUUGUUGAGGAAGAUAAUGACGGUACUCAACAAGGAAGUGACGGCUAACUACGUG